rnacentral:lncRNA from 14 species
GCAUCAGUUAUCACAUCCCUAAACCCUGUUUUCUGUCCCUUGGCAGUGGUGCUUCAAUGGUGAGUGUGUGCCCGUGGGCUUCCGUCCCGAUGCCAUCAAUGGUGGCUGGAGCUCCUGGAGCUCCUGGGCUGCCUGUUCCCGCAGCUGUGGUGCUGGUGUGCAGAGCGCAGAGAGGCAGUGCAGCAGCCCCACGCCGAAGUACGGGGGCAGGUACUGCCUGGGGGAGCGGAAGCGGUUCCGGAUCUGCAACGUCCGGCUGUGCCCCCCGGACAAGCCCUCCUUCCGCCAGGUCCAGUGCAGCCAGUUCAACCCCAUGCUCUACAAAGGGAAGUUCUACAAGUGGACACCGGUGCCCAACAACAGUGAGUGGGGGCAGAGUCUUGCUCAGGGCUUGACUUUGCCAUUCACAUCCAGGCUUUGCCCUGCAGUGUGUUUACACCUCAUUGUGUGCUAUGUCUGGGCUUGCAGCUCUGGGUUAUGUCUGUGGUGAUGGCCCCGGCUGCUGGGGUUUAGGUUCUGCCUGCUGUGUCCCCAGUUAACCCCUGUGAGCUGCACUGCCGCCCCGAGCAUGAGUACUUUGCAGAGAAGCUGCGGGAUGCAGUCAUUGAUGGGACACCAUGCUAUGA